GACCUGGUGGCGCGGUAUCACACCCGUAUUUCAUCGAAAUCCUCUGAAAGUUCAGUGGGAGUUGUUGGUUCGAAUCCGACCCAGGUCU